rnacentral:rRNA from 1 species
UACUCGAGUGGCGAACGGGUGAGUAACACGUGGGUGAUCUGCCCUGCACUUCGGGAUAAGCUUGGGAAACUGGGUCUAAUACCGGAUAGGAGCCAUCUUUAGUGUGGUGGUUGGAAAGUUUUUUCGGUGUAGGAUGAGCUCGCGGCCUAUCAGCUUGUUGGUGGGGUAAUGGCCUACCAAGGCGGCGACGGGUAGCCGGCCUGAGAGGGUGUACGGCCACAUUGGGACUGGGAUACGGCCCAG